rnacentral:rRNA from 1 species
CCUACGGGUGGCAGCAGUGAGGAAUAUUGGUCAAUGGACGAGAGUCUGAACCAGCCAAGUAGCGUGAAGGAUGACUGCCCUAUGGGUUGUAAACUUCUUUUAUAUGGGAAUAAAAUGUUCCACGUGUGAGAUUUUGUAUGUACCAUAUGAAUAAGUAUCGGCUGACUCCGUGCCAACAGCCGCGGUAAUACGUAGGAUCCGAUCGUUAUCCGGAUUUAGUGGGUUUAAAGGGAGAGUAGGAUGAUUUUGAAGUCAGUUGUGAAAGUUUGCGGCUCAACCGUAAAAUUGCAGUUGAAACUGGCAGUCUUGAGUACAGUAGAGGUGGGCGGAAUUCGUGGUGGAGCGGUGAAAUGCUUAAAUAUCACGAAGAACACCGAUUGCGAAGGCAGCUCACUGGACUGAAACUGACACUGAGGCUCGAAAGUGUGGGUAUCAAACAGGAUUAGAUACCCGUGUAGUC